CCUUAAGGCAGAAUAGCAGCUGCUGGUUGUAUCUAUGUCGUGUUAUUGGCAACGCCCGAUCGUCUGAUUUUAUUUGUGCUUUCACGAAUACUAAACAAUUUGAGGUAGAACUGUUUUCUACAGCACGAGUUUGUUGUACUUCAAAUACCUUCUGCAUUUAUGGAAACGUCAUCUGUUUACCCUGCAUUGUUGAGUUAAAUUACUGCCGCCAACAAUCCGCUUUCGUCAUUCUGUUAAGAGUUGAGCUGUGAGUCGCUUGUGUAAGAAGUGCGUCGUAGAGUAGACAAUUUUGUGCUGUUAAAUAGACGUUUUUGUCGAGCAAUGGAGAAAAUAAACAGUGUUACGUCGUUCUUACAAGGCCUAGCAGCUUCGACCACUGUCAACAAAGACAAAGGACUGGCAAGGCUGAUAAACGAGGAGGAUAAAGUAUCCACUGCAAUCCUUCUCCUGGUCAUGACGCUUAUGAUUUUAUGUGCUUUAAGGGUAGGUAUAAUGUCUCUCUAUCUGACUGAACAUGUCAGACUAAAGUCCUGAGGUGUAAGGUUAUACACAAAAGAAUGGUGCGGUUUCAAAACUUAAUAA